UCUAGUUAGCAUUAUACCGUGAAACUGCGAAUGGCUCAUUAAAUCAGUUAUCGUUUAUUUGAUAAUACCUUACUACUUGGAUAACCGUGGUAAUUCUAGAGCUAAUACAUGCUGAAAAUCCCGACUUCGGAAGGGAUGUGUUUAUUAGAUAAAAAACCAAUGCCCUUCGGGGCUUUUUGGUGAUUCAUGAUAACUUUACGGAUCGCAUAGCCUUGCGCUGGCGACGGUUCAUUCAAAUUUCUGCCCUAUCAACUUUCGAUGGUAAGGUAUUGGCUUACCAUGGUUUCAACGGGUAACGGGGAAUUAGGGUUCGAUUCCGGAGAGGGAGCCUGAGAAACGGCUACCACAUCCAAGGAAGGCAGCAGGCGCGCAAAUUACCCAAUCCCGACACGGGGAGGUAGUGACAAUAAAUACUGAUACAGGGCUCUUUUGGGUCUUGUAAUUGGAAUGAGUACAAUUUAAACCUCUUAACGAGGAACAAUUGGAGGGCAAGUCUGGUGCCAGCAGCCGCGGUAAUUCCAGCUCCAAUAGCGUAUAUUAAAGUUGUUGCAGUUAAAAAGCUCGUAGUUGAAACUUGGGCCUGGCUGGCGGGUCCGCCUCACCGCGUGCACUCGUCCGGCCGGGCCUUCCUUCUGAAGAACCUCAUGCCCUUCACUGGGCGUGCUGGGGAAUCAGGACUUUUACUUUGAAAAAAUUAGAGUG
rnacentral:rRNA from 1 species